GUUGGGUAGGGGAGCGUUCUGUAAGCCUGCGAAGGUGUACUGUGAGGUAUGCUGGAGGUAUCAGAAGUGCGAAUGCUGACAUAAGUAACGAUAAUGCGGGUGAAAAACCCGCACGCCGGAAGACCAAGGGUUCCUGUCCAACGUUAAUCGGGGCAGGGUGAGUCGACCCCUAAGGCGAGGCUGAAAAGCGUAGUCGAUGGGAAACGGGUUAAUAUUCCCGUACUGGUGGUAACUGCGAUGGGGGAACGGAGAAGGCUAGGUUGUCCGGGCGACGGUCGUCCCGGUUCAAGCAGGUAGGCAGAGUGAUUAGGCAAAUCCGGUCACUUAAUGCUGAGAUGUGAUGACGAACCACUAAGGUGGUGAAGCAAUUGAUGCCCCGCUUCCAGGAAAAGCCUCUAAGCUUCAGGUUACCAACAAUCGUACCCCAAACCGACACAGGUGGUCAGGUAGAGAAUACUCAGGCGCUUGAGAGAACUCGGGUGAAGGAACUAGGCAAAAUGGUGCCGUAACUUCGGGAGAAGGCACGCUGGCGGUAGGUAAAGUCCCUCGCGGAC
rnacentral:rRNA from 1 species